rnacentral:lncRNA from 1 species
AAGUUGUUUUCUAAUGCUCACGCGCUAUGGCCGAAGUCUGCAAUGGAUGGGAGAAAGGGGAGGACCAAAUUAGCUCAGAUUCUUUACAGUUCACAGCAUCAGCUGUUUUAUUUAUUUGUUUUAGAUAGCGAAGCCAAAAAAAGUUGGAUGGGGGCAAAAAUGCCAACUAAAAUAGCUCAUAGUUCUGAAGUAGAGAGAAGUCAGAAUUUCCCGUUUUCUCUUGUUUCUCUCAGGGAUGGUCUAUAUGACUGGCGCUCCUUGGAAGCAGUGCUGAGGGCAUUAUCAAGAGUUUCCAGGGCCUCCUCUUUCUCCUGAAACCUUCUUCAAGGAGGGUAAAGUUUUAAGAGAGUUCAAAAGUACCACAGACUUCCAGGGAAUAGUAGUUUUUGUCGUGACAAGCAUGGACAUUUUCUUGCGUCAUGUACUAUUUCAGAAGGUAGAGACCACAAAAAGGCUUCUUACUGUGGCCACCGUGGACAUCUUCCCACAUCUACAAGGUGUUGUGGCCACAUCAUUGCUGCACCCAGUUUCCUCAGAAGAAAUACCUGUUGCUUAGGUUUAGAAACGAGGCAUGUAUACGUAUUUAACAGUUCUCAGAAUGUCAAGGAUCCCUCCUCAGAGCAAGAGCUCGAAUUUACAAAAGAAGCACUACCUCCUUUAUCACAUAGUAAAAUAAAGGACCGUGUCUGCUCCAGGACAUGGCUGGUUACAAUUUUGUUUUAAAGAAAUCACCAGAGAAACCUGAGAUUCCAACCCAGCCUUUUGUUUGCCUGGGAUUAUAGCCCAGUUCUUACAAGCAGAGAAGCCUAGGACACUAACCCAGCUUCAAGAGUAUACUCAGAAUCUCAAGAAUCACAAUCUGUGCUGCCCAUUCUUCAACAGACUGUCAUCUGGAGGCCUGGAUUGGAUCAGGAGUCGGGCUCACCAAUGGAGCCCCAAUCAGUCAGUCAGGAGUGAAGAUGAAAGCUUCAAAGCCAGCACAAGAGCACACAGGAGGCCGGCAUAAUCACGAAUUGCAGCUGUCUGAAGGGCAGUCACAUAAAAGAGGAGAAGCUUCACCUUUGCUUCACAAGGCACAUCUUGAACCAGGGAUGGAAAUUACAGAGAGGCCAAAACCAGCUCGGUGUGAGCAGGACUGGUAACAGACUGGCCAAGCAACAGAAGGGGCUGCCCUGUGAAGAAGCAAGCUCUCUGUCAAUGGGAGGUGCAAGCUGAGCCUGCACUACCUUUUGUCACGGUUGCUAUGGAAAAGAUUAAGAGCCCGGGCCUGGCUGUUCCCACCUCAAACCACUUCUUAGCUUCAUUUGUUCUCAUAACAACAGGAUAGCCCUUCCUCCUCUGGGGGCCUGGGCAUCAGCAAGUCGGAUGGCAGUGGAAGGUGGAGAAAUGGAAUCCUGCUGGGGGCUCAGGAGGCCUGCCCCCUGAUGCUGCCGUGCACUGCAGAUGUCCUUGAUGAAGAGAAUGAAUGGAAGGUAUUGGAAGGGAGCUGAAGUUCAACAAAUGACCACCUAAUGAAAAAGUCAGCAGUGGAUUGCUUGAGAUCUUGAGCACCCUGUACUGUUAUUAGUAUUUAUAAACAUGUUUGAAAGAUGUUCCCUUCCUUCACUGUAGUGCCAGAAAGCCUUUAACAUAUUGGGUCCGGUCUAGAUUUGUAAGGAAGUAUGGCUGAAUUGUUAUCGGGUGGAUACAGUUUACAUGUUUAAAGCUGUCUUUCUCAAUGGCAAAAGGGCAUACUGCUGUUAUUGUCAGUGAGGGGUCAGUAGUUUAAAUGAUGAAACUCUGGGGAUCAGCGUAAAGUAAACCAACAUACUGCAUGUAAGUAUCAAGUAAAUGAGCAGAGACAGCCCCUGGUUUACAAACACCUGACUUAAGCAUCGUCCAUCCUACAGGUAAAUUCCUCAUUCUUACUGCUGUGAGAACAAUUGUUAGGAGCCAAAAACUUCAGAGCUUUCAAAGAACUGUAAUGAGAUAGCACAAUGCAGGCAAAAAGCCAGUGUUAACGGAGCAAGAAACUUCCCAGUUCUGACAUUCACAGCAUGACCUAGAGCAUGCGGAUUCCCCUCUCUGAGUCACUGGUUUCUCACCUGCAAAAGAAAGCGGGGACAGGGAAGGAGGAAGAAGCUUCGAGAGGCUGGAACAGUUGAGGGAGCGCUGACACGGUAAAGGCCACUUUGCUCAUCAUCACCAGGCGUGCUGCCGAAAAUUUCCACUCUGUUUACUCCCAAGACCUUACUCCUACUAUGUGGAGACACAUUUGAAUAAAAAAUUGGCCUCUUUUCAAAGUCAAAAUUCUG